UGUUUCGGCUAGGGGGCCAUCCCGGCUUACCAACCCGAUGCAAACUGCGAAUACCGGAGAAUGUUAUCACGGGAGACACACGGCGGGUGCUAACGUCCGUCGUGAAGAGGGAAACAACCCAGACCGCCAGCUAAGGUCCCAAAGUCAUGGUUAAGUGGGAAACGAUGUGGGAAGGCCCAGACAGCCAGGAUGUUGGCUUAGAAGCAGCCAUCAUUUAAAGAAAGCGUAAUAGCUCACUGGUCGAGUCGGCCUGCGCGGAAGAUGUAACGGGGCUAAACCAUGCACCGAAGCUGCGGCAGCGAACGUAUCACCCAAGACAACUUUACGGAGUUGACGAUUGACGGAGCGAAGCGACGUCAAAGCGUUCAUUAAAGUCGAGUUGGCUUAGGGAUACGUUCGUUGGGUAGGGGAGCGUUCUGUAAGCCUGUGAAGGUGUGUCGUGAGGCAUGCUGGAGGUAUCAGAAGUGCGAAUGCUGACAUAAGUAACGAUAAAGCGGGUGAAAAGCCCGCUCGCCGGAAGACCAAGGGUUCCUGUCCAACGUUAAUCGGGGCAGGGUGAGUCGACCCCUAAGGCGAGGCCGAAAGGCGUAGUCGAUGGGAAACGGGUUAAUAUUCCCGUACUUGGUGUUACUGCGAAGGGGGGACGGAGAAGGCUAUGUUGGCCGGGCGACGGUUGUCCCGGUUUAAGCGUGUAGGUGUGUGUUCCAGGUAAAUCCGGUUCAC
rnacentral:rRNA from 1 species